UCGCACUGAUCUCUUUUAUACAAUUUAGUUUGUACGUUUAGAAGGUCAGUCUGUCUUGAAUCGUGGAAACGAACGUAUCGCUCUACAUGGAAUACCUUUGAACAACAUGACUUUGAAGAUGAGACGAAUAUCUUGAACGAAACUUUAUCCAAAGUUUUACUGAUCGCACUAAUGCGAGUUUGAACGAAACUUAUCGUUCAGAUGUGCACCAGGAAAAGCAGCAAAGCCGAUGGAGAAUGAGAAAAGAGUAGGAAAAGUAAAAGGAAAUUCGUACUAGCACGAGUACAACGACGACAACUAACUCGAGGGAAAUUCGUGGAACGACCAAUGGAAACCUCGUUUCGCGAGGACCAUCUUUUGAAUAUAUGCCCGUCUUUUCAAUAAGAAAGAAAGAGAAAAAAUAAAAGAGAGAGAGAAAGAGAGAGAGAGAGAGAGAGAGAGAGAGAUUGAAGAAACGGACUUCCUAUUCUACUUCGCUAAAAACCGUGAAAACUUUUCGUUUUAGCCGAAGAAAUCGCGUAUAAAGAAGUCGUUCUUGGUGGUCCAGUUUCUUUUCUUCAAAAGGAAAGGAUCAACAUAUAUAUAUAUAUAUAUAUAUAUAUAUAUAUAUAUAUACAUGAAAAGAUUAAGAGGAAGAUAAAGAUAGAUAUAGAGCGAGAAAGAAAGAAAAAAUUAUGGAUAGUAGGCGAAAAGGAGACUUCGAAAUCGAGAUAAUCUUUAUUUCGAGAAGAAUCUUUCGAACUUUUCGAAACUCUCGAGUACUUGGUACUUUAUAAAUUCUAAGAUAGAUAGAGAUAGAGAGAGAGAGAGAGAGAGAGAGAGAGAGAGAGAGAGUGAGAGUAGAAAUAGAAAUUGAUAGUAGAAAGGGAAAAUAAAGAGAGUAUAUACAUUAUAUGUAUACCUAUGUAGAUAUGUAGAAAAGGAAAAGUUGAGAUCGGAAAAGGUUUUCUUCAUAUAACUUGCUUUAGUUUGGUGCAUAAAAGGCACUCAAUGUUUUUUAUCAUUCAGUAAAAAUUCUCCCUUUUCUUUUUUAGAAACGUAUAAUAGAAAAUUUGCCUCGUAUUUUUGGUGGUUCAUGCAGAAGAUAGAAUGUUUGAUGUUCCAUUUCUCAACUACGUGUUUGCUCCCGUUUAGCUUCUACGAGGAAACCUACUUUACUUCUAUCUAUCUAUCUAUCUCUACCUCUCCCUCUCUCUCUCUCUCUCUCUCUCUCUUUCUUUUUCUUUCGUUUUUCCACUCAAUCUCGAUUUUCUCCCUAUGCUUUUCGUGCAACGCCAGCAAGUCAUUUCUACGUUAUAUCAACGAACCGAUAACACUAUUCGGAUGAUUGCACUACAAUACAAUUUUCUAAAGUAGUACAGGUAUGUUAAAUUAAAAAAAAAAAGGAAAAAGAAAAAAGAAAGAGAGAGAGAGAGAGAGAGAGAGAGAGAGAGAGAGAGAGAAAAGAAAGGUUGUUAUUGGUAAUCAGUUGAUCAUUGUUAUUUAAAGAAAAGCAAACAGAACAAAUAUCGGGUAAUUUCGAAACGUUCUUGAAGUAUACAUGUAUACGUAGAUGAUAUGUAGUAAGAAAAAAGAGAAAAGACAAAAAAAAGAAAGAAAUAAAAAAAGAAAAAACAAAUAGAAUUAUAUAGACAAUUUCGUUGUUAAAAUAGAAACAUAUGAAGUUUACGAGUAUAUAUGACUCCAUUAAUCGUUGAUAAAAAUACUUGUCGUGGGAUAAAAUGGACCCGGAAACGACGAGCUAUUGAAAUUUAUUGUAUUACACGUGUAAACUCUCGUCCGGAGAAAUUUGUAACUCGGGCCUAUGAUGGGAUAGUUUACGUUCAUUGUAAAAGUUGUGAUUCGAUUAUAAACGAAUUGGCAAUAUGACGGCUGUCACGUUUUCGCAAAUUCGGAAUGUUUCGUAUCGUUAAAAAGACCGAAUAUAAAUGGAACGAUAAACAAUGACUUGGUUGUUAACGACUACGAUAAAUAUUUUGUUUUCAUUAAUAAUAUCGAUCGACGAGAGGUACUCGUAACAAGUUAUACCAAUAAAUAUGAAAAGCUCAUAGUAACAAUACUUUUCAAGAAUAUCGUUAAUAGAAAAUAUAUAAAAUAAAUUCGUACAUUGAGAAACAUUAAAA